rfam:Arabis alpina cultivar Pajares chromosome 1, whole genome shotgun sequence.
AUGUCUCCUAGAGUUCCUCUGAGCACUUCAUUGGGAUUGCAAAUUUCACCCACUGAAGUGUUUGGGGGAACUCCCGGACCCAU